CGAUCGUGGCGGCGACCGCAGCGGAGACAGGCGCGGGUUCGGCGGCGGCGGCGGCGGCGAUCGCAGCGGCGGCGGGGCUAUGCGCAGUGAUGGGGGCCGAGACCGGCAGAGACCAUAUUAAAUAGUUUAACUUUUACCUUAGUCAAAUGAAACUAUGACUGACUUAAGGUUAAUAAAAUGGUUUUGAACAUUUUAUUUCCUUUUUAUAGUCUCUCAAUCAAAAACUGUAAAGUUUCAUACUAAUAUAAAUUAGGCUACGCAUUUUAUGUUAAGUGACUGAGGUUUAAUAAAUAUCUGAGUAAAAGUU
rnacentral:lncRNA from 1 species